rnacentral:lncRNA from 1 species
AUUAAUCUCAAUCUAUCGUAGUUAGAAGAAAUAGGUUCAACUAGACAAAGAUUCGGCUUCCUAAACCACAGGUAUGAAGGUUUCGACUUUUUAAAGAAAAAAUGAAAGAGUUUCGGCUAUAGCAAGAUUCAACCUCCUAGAUGUGAGGGAAAGAAAUGAAGAGAAAAAGAAGAGAAAUAUGAAAGAUUUAGGUUCAGCCAAGGGGUAAUCGGCAG